rnacentral:ncRNA from 1 species
CGACCCCAGGUCAGGCGUGACUACCCGCUGAGUUUAAGCAUAUAAAUAAGCGGAGGAGAAGAAACUUACAAGGAUUCCCCUAGUAACGGCGAGCGAACCGGGAGCAGCCCAGCUUGAGAAUCGGGCGGCUGUGCCGUCCGAAUUGUAGUCUGGAGAGGCGUCCUCAGCGACGGACCGGGCCCAAGU